AGGUAAACGGAUGGGCACUCGAAAUCCUCUUGCGGAGGGAUUCAGUCGGGAGCGUUCGGAGCGCCGCACGGGACGGACACAGUCGACAGGGCCGUCCACGCGCGGAGGCGAUCUCCGGCGAGUCCGACGCACUUCCUUCCGCACCACGGACGCCGCAACCGGUCGGGUAGCUGCGAGAGUCGGCCGUGAGGCCCAGCGACGCGCAGGUGGCCGGGGCAGAGACUCGUCUCGACGCUCCGGUUGUUAGCCGGCUGGGCACGUGGCGCGACACCCGACCGAGGUCGACGUUCCCUCUUCUGGGAACACGCCGCUUUCUUCGGCAGCGAGGACGCGAGCACGCGCGUUCCUGUCCGGCGAGUCCACUCUCCGCAGUGGCCGAAAAACGCGGAUGGUUCUCCGUCGCUCGCGGAACAGGCGCACGGGGUUGGCGGCGAGUAGGUCGGUCACCCAUCCGACCCGUCUUGAAACACGGACCAAGGAGUCUAACAUGUGCGCGAGUCGCUGGGUCUUGAACAGGCCCGCGGGCGCAAUGAAAGUGAAGGCGCGGCCCCAGAGCCGCGCCGUGUUGGGAUUCUCUCGCCGGUUCAAAAGGCGAGGGAAGCACCAACGACCCGUCCGAUCCGGCACUGCCGGGCGGGCGGAGUCGGAGCGUACACGUUGGGACCCGAAAGAUGGUGAACUAUGCCUGGGCAGAACGAAGCCAGAGGAAACU
rnacentral:rRNA from 1 species